rnacentral:rRNA from 1 species
UACGUAGGGAGCAAGCGUUGUUCGGAUUUACUGGGCGUAAAGGGCGCGUAGGCGGCGCGGUAAGUCACUUGUGAAAUCUCUGAGCUUAACUCAGAACGGCCAAGUGAUACUGCAGUGCUAGAGUGCAGAAAGGGCAAUCGGAAUUCUUGGUGUAGCGGUGAAAUGCGUAGAUAUCGAGAGGAACACCUGCGGCGAAGGCGGGUUGCUGGGCUGACACUGACGCUGAAGCGCGAAAGCUAGGGGAGCGAACGGG